rnacentral:rRNA from 1 species
UACGAAGGGGACUAGCGUUGUUCGGAAUUACUGGGCGUAAAGCGCACGUAGGCGGCUUUGUUAGUCAGGGGUGAAAUCCCGGGGCUCAACCUCGGAACUGCCUUUGAUACUGCAAGUCUCGAGUCCGAUAGAGGAGGGUGGAAUUCCUAGUGUAGAGGUGAAAUUCGUAGAUAUUAGGAAGAACACCGGUGGCGAAGGCGGCCCACUGGAUCGGUACUGACGCUGAGGUGCGAAAGCGUGGGGAGCAAACAGG